AAAGAUCUAGUUUAUUAUACUCAAACAUUGGAUUGUCAGUCCAAAGAUAUUUAUCUUUG
rnacentral:tRNA from 1 species